GCACGAACCAAUUCAGGUUCUUGGACAAGGCAAUGAUAAUUGACAACAUUGAUGCUUCAAACAAUACCAGAAAUCCAUGGCGGCUCUGCACCCUAAAUCAAGUGGAAGAAGUGAAGUUAGUCCUUCGCUUGAUCCCCAUAUGGUUAAGCUGCUUAAUGUUCACAGCCAUAAUAGUUCAAACCCACACAUUUUUCACCAAGCAGGGCAGUACAAUGAUCAGAACAAUAGGACCAAACUUCCAGCUUCCUCCAGCCUCACUUCAAUCCCUUAUAGGCAUCACAAUCCUCAUCGCCGUCCCAAUAUACGACCGAUUUUUUGUCCCGAUAGCAAGAAAAAUAACAGGACACCCUUCUGGCAUAACCAUGCU
rnacentral:misc_RNA from 1 species